AGUGAGACAAGGUGCUAACGGACAGUUAGGUCUCCAGUUGUCUCGCUUCAUCCUGAACCAAAAUGUUUUUUUUUGACGAGCUGCAACUUAAGGCAUCAAUAACUACAUGUCGAUGGAACCAGUAGGUGACGUUGGUGGACUCCGUAGUUCAGCUGCUUUGGGACUUUUCAUAGUUUUGCUCACCAGGGUUGAAUCCAGGUUACGAUCUUUCAAUAGGUGUAAUCUCUUGAAUGUAUUUCUUCAUCGUGGCGGUGAUGUAGUGCUCACUUAUACAACCGUUACCACUGCACUGGAUGUGAGAUAUGUGAGAUAUGUGAGAUAUGUGUGAUAUGUGAGAUAUGUGACAUAUGUGUGAUAUGUGAGAUAUGUGAGAUAUAUGUGAGAUAUGUGUGAUGUGUGUGAUAUAUGUGAGAUAUGUGUGAUAUGUGAGAUAUUUGUGAUAUGUGAGAUAUGUGAGAUAUGUGAAAUAUGUGUGAUAUGUGUGAUAUGUCUGAUAUGUGUGAUAUGUCUGAUAUGUGAGAUAUGUCUGAUAUGUGUGAUAUGUGAGAUAUAUGUGAAAUAUGUG
ensembl:lncRNA